CUCUCUCUGGCAGGACCACGGUUUAUCUCGCGAAUUUUGGGAAGUUCCGUUGGGGAAGAUGGCGGCGGCCUCGAGCACCCUUCUCUUCUUGCCGCCGGGGACUUCAGACUGAUCUUUCCCGGGAAGAGUAGGGACUGCUGGUGUCCUGCGUCUUGGGAACCCGGGCCAACUUGUUUUCCUCGUUACUGGUGGGGAAGGGCUUAUCCUUUUGUGGCAGAUCCAGGCUCUCCCCGCCUUCAGGAUGAAAGCUCAGGGGGAAACCGAGGACUCGGAAAAGCUGAGUAAGAUGAGUUCUCUUUUGGAACGGCUCCAUGCAAAAUUUAACCAAAAUAGGCCUUGGAGUGAAACCAUUAAGCUUGUGCGUCAAGUCAUGGUAAGGAUUGUGGUAAAGUGGGUAAGGUGUUUUGCUUAGAUACUUAUUCUUUUUUUUUUUUUUUUUUUUUUUU